rnacentral:misc_RNA from 1 species
GUGAAAGCCAACUACAUUUCUGCUUAAAACUGCAUUUUUUCCUAAUGAUGACUCUGCUUAUUAACUAAAAAGAGAAGGACUUGGUGCCUUGAUUCCUUUUUGUUGAUGUAUACAUCUCCUCACAUGUGUACUAUGCUAUUCUUAAUGAACGGUAAACCAUUUGUAGCCUUUGGACUGUAUUUUGGCAUGAUACAUAGUGGUGGAAUGAGGAGAAACUAAAAUCUGUGGUCCAACCCUGAAAUAAUUACAGUUAUUUAUGUAGAAGUUUUUCAACAUGUUGUCCAAGUCCUUAUUGUUUUUGUAUUUGUUUUUCCUUCUUCCUUCUGUUAUCUUUCAUGAAUGAAAAUGCAGAUGUUUAUUAGUGUAUUGCAUAAAUGUUCAUAGGUUG